rnacentral:rRNA from 1 species
CCACGGGGUGCUCCAGUGAGGAAUAUUGCACAAUGGGGGGAACCCUGAUGCAGCAACGCCGCGUGGAGGAUGACGCAUUUCGGUGUGUAAACUCCUUUUAUAUGUCAAGAAAAUGACGGUAGCAUAUGAAUAAGCACCGGCUAACUCCGUGCCAGCAGCCGCGGUGAUACGGAGGGUGCAAGCGUUACUCGGAAUCACUGGGCGUAAAGGACGCGUAGGCGGGUUGGAAAGUCAGGUGUGAAAUCCUACAGCUUAACUGUAGAACUGCACUUGAAACUUCUAAUCUAGAGUAUGGGAGGGGGAGAUGGAAUUAGUGGUGUAGGGGUAAAAUCCGUAGAUAUCACUAGGAAUACCUAAAGCGAAGGCGAUCUCCUGGAACAUUACUGACGCUAAGGCGUGAAAGCGUGGGGAGCAAACAGGAUUAGAUACCCCGGUAGUC